rnacentral:rRNA from 1 species
ACGACCCCAGGUCAGGCGGGAUUACCCGCUGAGUU